AUGAAGGAGAUAAGCAUUUGUCCGCUAUGCGGGCACAGGGAGGAGACGUUGUACCAUAGCCUGGUGCAGUGUGAGCAUGCAGUUGCGUUCUGGGAUGCUGCAGAAGUUCACUUCGGUUUGAAGCUGCCAAAAUUACAUCCGGUGUCAUGGUCUGUGGAUAUCCUUGAUCCUGGGCUUGUCAACCGGAAGGAUGCAGCAGUUCUGGUCUCAGUAAUGUGGGCUAUUUGGACGAGCAGAAACAAGUAUUCGCACGGGGAGAUUGCUUACCAACCUAGGCGGACAAUGGAACUAGUGGAUGAGUUAGUCCGAGCUCUCGAUAUUCCCAAGCAGGAUAUGCCAGUUGCGCGUGAGAGACAGAAGUGGAAGCCUCCCGAGGAGGGCUGGGUGAAAGUGAAUUCAGACGGAGCUGUUGAUAGCAACCGUGAGGUGGCUGGGGCAGGCAUGGUGGUGCGUGAUCAUAUGGGUAGCCUACUGGCUGGGAGUUGCAAGCAGUAUGGCAUGAUUCAGGACCCGAUGAUCAUCGAGUUGCUAGCAUGUAGAGAUGCGGUUUUAUUGGCCAAGUAUCAUGGUUUCAGUCAUGUUGUUCUAGAAACAGACUGUCAGGUGGUGGUCUCAAUGUGGAACACGGAAGCUUCAAACAAGUCAGUUGGUGGCCAUGUUUUCGAGGAAAUAAAGGAGAUAGUAGGGUAUUUCCAGGGUUUCAAACUUCUCUUUGCUAGGAGGGAGGCGAAUUCAGUUGCUCAUUUAUGUGCUAGAGAAGCCCUUAGCUUAAAUAUUGUAGCUCUAAAUUUUCAUGUAACCCCUGGUUUUCUGACUGAGGCUGUUCAGUCAGAAAUUGUUUCACCUGUUUAA
rnacentral:rRNA from 1 species